GUAACCGGAAGAAAACGUUAAAAGCUUCGGUCACAGCAAAUGGUAACACAAUGCCGCCGUUAACUCGCUCGCUUCUCCAAACAACAUAUUCUGGGGUGACAAGGUUAGGUUGGCACACCUGGAAAAGUUCAUACUUUACAAUUGUUUCCAUGCACUGAUAAUCUCACGUACCUUCCGAACUGAAUCCUCUGCCCCAUAGUCAAACUCUAGCUGAUCUAACCCAAAA
rnacentral:lncRNA from 1 species